GUUUUCUUCAUGCAUGAAUACUGGUGUGGGUGGCCAUCUUCCCAAGCCAGGAGGGGUUAUUUACCACUGUGCCACCUCCGUGCUGAUAAAGUUAUCCCUGUGCUGAAUCGGGGGCCUCAUCAGGUUCAGUGCAGACAAGGGAACAUCUGCAGCGCAUGUGUGGAGCACUACGCACGCAGCAGGAGCUUGAAGACGCUGGCAACAGACAGGUAUAGGGAGGGAAGGCAUGGGAAGAAAGAAUCCAAACCCACAACCUGUGCUGGGGUCUGUAAGAGCACAACAGAAAGCACUCUUGUCGUCCUCUUGAAAUGUCCUUUCUGAGGAGACCUUCCCUUUCCUUUCAUGGUCAACAGAGUGCUGCCCUCUGUGAGGGGCUUCCCUGAAAGCAGAGAAGCUGGGAGCUCCAUGUCUGUGUCCCAAGAGCACCUGGUAUUGAUUAUUAUAGUGCUUAUUAAAUUACUACAGCUUAUUUACAUGUUUGUUUCCUCAGCAGGUAUCUUCUCAAAUAAUGGAGUAUUCUAUUUAUCUUUGCACUGUCAAUACCUUGGACAGUGCUUGGCAGAUAGAAGGAUCCAGUAAAUAUUUGCUGAAUGAAUGAGGGGAUGGACUUCUUUCAAUGUUAGAAGAAACUGUAAAACAAUCAAACAAAUCCAAAAUGAAUUAAUUUGCCAGUCUUGCUACUAAAAAACUCGGAUCUAAGAAUGACACCUCAGAGUGGCCUAACCUGUGGAUCUGAAUUCACUGAGUAUCUAAAACAGGUAAGUUCAACAACCAGCAGGUAAGAAAUGCAGUGAAUGUUCUGCCUGUCCCUUUCCAUCACAGGUUUUAAAUGUAACAAGGAAUAUUCCUUACCGGACAUGCAAAAUCCCCAGUAACAGGGAUUAUUACAUGCUGGAUUUGCCACAUCUGACAUCUAAAGAAAUACUUAAAUCAAAAUUCAAGCUAGACACUGGGUUCAGCGAUAUUCAGAAGAAAACUAUCAGAAUCCCUCAGGGGAAGACAGGGUUUCAACCAAGCUCUGAUCACAGUGAAGGAAUUAAAGCCGACUCGCAGCAUCAGUGCAGAUCAGUUGAUGAGAAUCAACGUUAAAGCGUGAGAACAAGAAACACGGAAGUAUAUUACUGCCUAAGCCAAAUGACAAAGGGGACACAAGAGAUGAGAUGGCAUCA